GAUGAACGCUAGCGGGAGGCUUAACACAUGCAAGUCGUGGGGCAGCACGGGGUAGCAAUACUCUGGUGGCGACCGGCGCACGGGUGAGUAACGCGUAUGCAACCUACCCAGUACAGGGGGAUAGCCCGGAGAAAUUCGGAUUAAUACCCCAUAAUGAUAUUAAGAGGCAUCUCUUAAUAUUUAAAGCUUCGGCGGUACUGGAUGGGCAUGCGUAAGAUUAGCUAGUUGGUAGGGUAACGGCCUACCAAGGCUCCGAUCUUUAGGGGUCCUGAGAGGGUGAUCCCCCACACUGGUACUGAGACACGGACCAGACUCCUACGGGAGGCAGCAGUGAGGAAUACUGGUCAAUGGGCGAGAGCCUGAACCAGCCAUUCCGCGUGAAGGAAGAAGGCCUUAUGGGUUGUGAACUUCUUUUCUGUAAGAAGAAUAGCCCCGAUGUAUCGGGGUAUGACGGUAUUAUAGGAAUAAGCAUCGGCUAACUCCGUGCCAGCAGCCGCGGUAACAC
rnacentral:rRNA from 1 species